CGCCUGAGAUUCAACAGAUGAUAAUAUAUCAGAAACAGCAUGAUAUCGAGACCUGAAGUCGAUACAAGCUUGGGGACGAGUUCUAAUCAUAGUACCGAUUACGUAACAUUAUGUUCAAUGCUACACCCUAAACUUAACUUAGACAUCAUAAGUUCUAAAGAUGCCGUCGUCAACAGAAGUGAAUUUAAUGGAGCUGGUACAAAAUUACCAGUGCCUGUAUGACAAAAGAGUCAUACAGAAAUGGAAAAAGAGAAAAAAAAACGCAUGGGAUGCGAUAUCUAAAGAGAUGGGUAUUAGCAGUGAGGAAUGCCAGCGCAUAUACAACGCUAGGCGCAGAGCAUUUGCAAGGUAAAGUACUUCUAUUGUAAUAUAUAGUAUUUAUAUACGUAGUAAAAGUUGCUUUUAACUGAUACUGGCUAUAAUCAAUUACUUGUGCUUUUAGACAUCUUGUACCACACGUGAGUGUAGUUUGUAGAUUAACAGUAUGCAAUGCAGUUGUCUACAUUUCAUGAGAUGUGCUAUCAUUGAUUGUGCCUUUUUUAAAAGGUGCAUUAAUAAAUACAUUUUUUUUUGUAAUGUGGUAGACAUCUGAAGAAAGCGAGGGAAAGUGUUCCCUACCCGUAGGCCCUGAAUGGGAACAUAUGAGGUGGCUAGUAGUUCACAUAAACCAUCGCAAAACACAAGAAACUUUAAAUUGUAGUCCUGGAGAAAAUGCGACAGAAGAUGCUAGUGAAGAGUGUAUGCGACUGCUGUCAGAGACUCAACAAUUUGAUGUUGUUGUUCAUGCAGAUGAAGAAGAGAUAGAUGAUUCUUUGUGGGAUGUCACACCACCAGAGGACAAAGAUAACAUCAGCGACGAUGUAGAUGAUGAUAUUGAAAAUAGCAGUUAUGAAAUUGACGAACGCAACGUAGAAGUUGAAGUAAACAUGAAAGAUGGAGAAGAAGGCAAAAUUGUUGAGGGACUUGAGAUCAACACGAUGAAGUUGAAGAGGAGGAACCUGGAUCAAUUCAGGUAGUAGAAGACAAGAGUCAAGAGUCAAAAACUGGCAAGAAUGAAGCCCAAAGAGGAUCGAUGAAGAAGAGAAGUGUUGACAAACCAAACAAGGCUGUUAAAAAGGCAUGGGCCAAUAAAUCCAAGCCAACUGAAAAGACUGGACCGAGCAAUGAGAUGAGCGAUGUCGACAAGAAGUUGUUAGAAAUAAUGAAAGGAACUGGAAAUGAAGAUGAAGCCGACAAUUUUGGGAAAAUAGUGGCAGCAAAAAUGAGAAAGAUCAGCGAAGACGACAGGGGAGAAAUGGAAUUGAACAUCCUUAUGCUGUUUAACAACUAUCAUAAGAAAAAAUAAACCAUCAAAUCAUAUCUCUUCACUCCCAAAACUUAUUUCUUUUUUGUCUUCAAAUAUAAUGGUAUUUUUGUGUUUAGAUGUCUGACUGUAGUAUUAAAUUGUAUUACUUGUUCACUAAUAAAUUUACUUCAUCGUUAUUUUCUUAUGAAACCACAGAAAAAAAUUACCCUGCUACCAAUUUUCGCCGACUGAUUUUCAUGUAUUUUGUUUACUAAGAAAAGCAAAAUUAAAUAUUUAAUGGAAAUUUUGAUAGCAAAUAUUGGUAGCAAUAAAUUUUUACAUGGUUUACAUGGUGGUAUGACAUGACGGUAUGAUUGAUUGUAGCUAAAUUAAUCAUUAUAUUGCUACUGGUUUUUAAAUAGAAUAAAAUGAUGAUAGGGUAUAGGUAUUGAUGAUGAUGGUGGUGAUGAUGAUGAUGAUGAUGAUGAAUAUGAAUUUCUACUGGCCCAUUAUGCACAGACACAUGGAUAGAAACAAUGGUACGGUUAGUCUGGACUAAAUAUGAAAUUACUAUUUGCAAGUUUUCCAGAUAGCAUUCAUAUUGGACAAUAACAAUAAUGACUAUCUGAAAGAAUGGUGUCAAGCUUAAGAAGAGGUGGGAACAUAACUGGCAGAAUAAUAAUAAUAAUAAUAAUAAUAAUAAUAAUAAUAAUAAUAAUAAUAAUAAUAAUAAUAAUAAUAAUAAUAAUAAUAAUAAUAACAUUUAUAAUGCGCCAGUAUCCAUCAAAGAUCCCCAUUGUGCAAAA